CAGGUUUGCAGGGACAAUCACCAUUGCUGGGAUCACAGAAGAUGCCUUUGUUAAGGGGAUGUGCAGUUGAUCCAACUGGGUGACAGGCGCAUACUGCAAUAUUAAGGAAUAUGUAUGAGACAGCCUCGAAUAUAAAAGCCUCUGGGAAUAAAAUCUGGAAACUAAAUACUGAUGGUAGAUACAUAGAUUUGCUAUCACUCUUUAGGAGUCCAUCUUUCAUAUCCUUGUUGUUUUGUAUUUAUAAAUUCAAGGGUUCAUGUAGUAUGGGGUGCAUAUCCCUGCACAGUCAUAUAUUUUUUCCUUCAAGUUCAUGCCUUCUCAGUUUAAUCAUGCAAAAACAGAGACACAGAAGACUUUUCCGGUGAACAUAUGCAAGUAGUGAAAGAGAGGGAAGGAGAGGCAGGAAGAAUGAUUUUUGUGGGGUUGGCAAAAAUUGUUUAUUGUGUGUGUGAGGGAAGGCACUUUGUGCUUCUUGCAUGGUAUAGCAGUAUUGUAUUUCCUCUUUUUCCUUCCUUAACAAAAAGCUCUCUUAACCAAAUAAUCAAGUCAUUUCCAUUUGUGCUAUUCUGUGAGGAAAUGUGAAUAUUCUUGGAUUGCUGAUUGCAGAUCUACCAGGAAAGCUUUUUGUUAAGGAAAGGAGAAGGCUGGGGUGAGAGGUGGGUGAAGAGGCUUUGUCAAUGGGCUCCCACUUGGGUUUGGGCCCAGCAACAAAUGCCCAGUCAUACCUACCCUAGCCCUCUGGCUUGUUUUCCAUACUAAUUAACCUGUUUUCUUGCCUAAGAGUCACUAUGGCACUCCUUGGAAGUAGAAAAGGUCACCUUUUAGCUACCUUGAUUGUGUGAACAAAAUAUGUUAAUAUUUUGUUAAGUUCUGUUAAGUAAGUGUGCCUCUUUAGAUUUUAAGGUAUUAAAUAUGUAUGAAAAGUUUUCUUGAAUUCUCUUUGGUCUUUUGCCACACCAGCUGCUGUAGUUUGAAGGUCGCGCACGCGCGCGCGUGUGUGUGUGUGUGUGAGAGAGAGAGAGAGAGAGAGAGAGAAAUUGAGAAAUAUAACACACAAGUAACAAAUGAAUCAAAAUAGCUAUUUAGUUAUUUAGAAAAUCAACAAAACUGCUCAGAGUCAAUGUAACUUGAAAUCUCAGAGUAUGAUAAACAGUUCUGAAUGUUCAGCAGAUUUUACUGUUUCUGUCUCCAAAUGUAAUAUGCACAGAAUGAAUAAAAUAAAGUCAUUUCAUUGUGAUUACUUUCUAGUUCAGCUUUGGAUACCAAGCCAAAAUUCUACAAUCUUGCAACAUGUGUUUUAAUCAUAAAACUAUUAUCAUAAACUAUUAUGGACCUGUUAUGGAUCUUUCUAUCAUUCCCAGUUACACUAUAGCAAAGCCUUAAAAACUCAUGAACAUUGUUAAAAACAGGAAAGGGAGAAGAAUCCAAACUUAAAGCAGAUUGCCACAGUUUACCAUGUUAAAUAAGAUACUGCCGUGUUUUUAUUUAGUAUAUACAGGCUCCUGAGCAAAUAUUACACAUUGUUUCUUAAAGAGUAUGUUUAGGUAGCCUAAGAAUUGUGGUUUAACAGCUCUUUCAUUUGUUUUGACCUUGGAGCUUUUUCAUUUUCAUGAUUUUCCAGAAGUUGAGCAACAGUGUUGGUGAUAAUUAUACUGUGCCACAGACUAUUUGAACCCUUUAUGAAUAAGAGGUUAUCAAAAAUGCCAUUAUCAGCAAAAACUAAGCAUGACGUAAGGGCACAGUUUGUUUUCUGUUGAGACUGAAAUCUCUGCUUGAUUUCCUGAAAGCACAAACUUUCUCUGUGUUGGAGCUCUCCAAAAGGCCGUGACUGAGCAGUUUCAUGCACGAAAUGUCUGUCUCCUCUAUUGGCUCUAUCCUAUGUCCCUCUGACUCCAUUGUUGUGGACUUCGUACAGAUGAUAGCAGCUGAAGAUGAAACUGGGAUGGUUGCCCAGGAAUGAAGCUCAUUGUGGCUUGAAGGCAACAGCUGAGAAGAAUUUCCUUUGUAUCAAUAAACAGUUCAGAAAUGCAUCUGGGGCAGAAAAGGGCUUCCUGAGGUCUCGGUAGUAGCCUGGUUUGCACCGCUGGCAGUGUCGUCCUUCAGUAUUAUGUUGACAAUUAUCGCAGAUGCCACCACUUCGGUUCCCUGAUGCCAGCCAUGUUUCCAUGUCAAAGUGACAAGUAUCAGAAUGCCCAUUGCACUUACAGGCUGAAACACAGUCAAGAAGAAAAGACAAAUUAAAGAUGUUGUUGCUGUUUUUAAAAGAAUGUAGAGGGGCAUGAAAAUAAUGAAACCAAAACAUAUGCUGGCGGGCAGAUGUUUCUAGAUUAUGCAGGUUGUUAUUCUGUAUUUAGUUCCUCUGAUGCAACUGACUUAAAGAGUGAAACAGCUACCAGCUACCACAAGCCUUCAGAAGUGCAGUAUGUGUUACUUUUGUUAGAAUACAGAAACGUCCAACCAAGUAUUUUGGAAGCCAGAUAAAAUUUUCGAAGACAGUAACCCAAUUGCAUUCAAAGAUGUUGAAUCUCAUCAAAAUUCAGGGGAACCUGCUUUUAUGUCAUAUAUUUAGACUCACUAAUUAUUGCUGAUUCUGUGUUUUGUUUAAAUGAAAAAUGCAGAAUAUUGGGUGUUUUAGUGUCUGGUACAAUUUAUUUAGGUAUUCUGUGAAAUUUUACUUCUUAAUGGCUGAUCUUGGACUCCACAAGGAAGCAAGCAAAUAGUUACCUUCUUGGUAAAAUGUAUGUAUCUUUGUAAACUGAACUGUCACCAGUGUUUAAACAUGAUGUGGAUGGUGGCAUUAGUUUUGUCUUGCUAAUUUAUUUCACACAGGGUCAUUAGCAUUUUGGAAUAUAAGAAGAGAAUGUGCAUAGAAAGGAAUUCCAUUUAUCCACAAUUGCCUAGAAGCACUUCCAUGAAUUUGAAUUUGAUACUUACAUCUGCAUUCAUUUGGGGCUCCGGUUUUGCCAUUUGCAGGUUUCCAGGGCUGGUCAUUGUAGAGGGGAGCACAAUGUUGACAAUGAGUUCCUGCAGUAUGGUGUUUGCACAUGCAUCUUCCGUGAACCUAACAUUGGGAAGCAGAUUAUGACCAUUACAGCUGCAGUGCCAUGUCCAGAUAGUUCAUUGUGCAAAUCUGUCUAUUACCAUGUAUUAUUUUCAGAUGCUGUGUGCUAAUUAGGUAAGCUAGAGCCCACUGAACCUGAAACCAUACUGUUAGAGAGUAGAUGCCCAAGGGAUUCUCCAUAUAGUAAUAAAGGCAUUCCCCCAGUUCUGUUCUACAAAGUUCUCGAUGGAGUAAUAUCUAGCUUUAAGCAACAGAAUAGCAGAUGCUGUUUACUGUCCUUUUAAACAACCUAAAGGGCUCUGUGCUCACAAAAGAAAGGGAAUUCACAGCUCCUGUGGGAAACUGGGGGAGGGGGAGCCUGCUGCACUCACAGACAGUGGAUAAGUGCUCUUUCUUGAAUAAUAAAGCAGAGGACUAUGGCAGGGCAGAAUAGCGGGAGGAAAAUAGUUGAUGUGGACUACUGUACAGCCGAACACGAAAUGCCUCAGGUGGCAGUUGCAAUAAUGAGGUUAUUUCUGGUUGAAAGAAAUGCAUAUUUACAGAAAUGGCAUAUUACUGUUUGAGCAUGAAAAACACGUCCCAAAGAAACAAUAGUCUACUUCUCCCAUAGCAAACAUGUAGCAGGGCUGCAUUUAUUUCUACAAAUAAACAAUCAUGGCUUAGACCUCCACUUUUUAAACAGUGUGUUCCAUAUAUGCAGCACUUUUUCUUGCUUCCAGUAUUAAUAUUCUCAGGAUAUACCUUGUAGCUUCAAUGAUUUAUUUUGGUUCAAAAGUAAAAGUGGUAAGCAAGAAUGACCUUCUCCUUCACAAAUGCAAUCCUUGGAAUCGUACAUGCUACAGAGUCAGACUAGAUGGUAAAGAUACCAUCAGUGGAACAGGAAGCCAAUACUGGAACAGACUAUGCAAUAGCUGGUUCCAAACAUGUGCUUUACAAUUAUUCUGAUGAAUGUCUCUACUUCCUAUCUUUACCCCUUCAAUAUCUUUAGGAAGUAAUUGUGGAUGGUAAGAUAAAGACCAUGCUAAUGUUCUUUAUGAAUGCAUCUAUGAAGGCAAUCCAAGUGUGUGCAUUUUUGAACUGGUUUUUAUUGAACAAUUGUGCAAUAUUAUUCUAAUUGGCUUGAGUACUACAGUUUGCUUGACUGCUACAGUUUACAUGGCAGACAGAUAGCUUUAUACCCCUGUGAUGUCACUUGAUUUGGAGACACUCCCACAGGCUCUGUACAGUACAGGAGACUCAGAUAGGAUAUUGCUCCAGUUAGAUGACUUGAUAGCUUCCUUACAUGGUGUGAUUCCAGCAUUGCUGUAAUUACAGGGCAUACAUACAGGGCCAGGAGCCCUGUUCAGAUGGUUAGAAACAGAAUAUGCUGAAUAGAUGGAGACUGAUCAAGGCAAAAGACCCCAUCUCCAAGCUCCCAUAGAGCGUCCUUGUUCAGACCCCCUAAGGUUCCUAGUUCUCAUGUUUGUGACAAAUAGGCUUAGGCAAUAACCCAGUGCUGGGAUUCAUUUGCACAAAUGAUACUCAUAAAGAACUGUAGCUACUGCUUGGGAAAUAAAAAUAUAUUCUCCCUUCGGGGAGAAACAUGUACAACAAUUCUUGGGAAGAGAAUCUUAAACUGGAAACUCAAUGGGGCACAGAAUGUAUCUGGUACGUAUUUGCAUAACACCCUGCUGAAUAGAAUGUUAUGGGCACAUCUGCUUAAUAAAAGAAACAGCUGGUUAAAGAGGAAAGAUGUUCUGCAGAGAGUUGCUAUGGGAUGAUAGACUAUGAACUGUCAAGUUGGGAAGUCUGCAAUUAAGCUACAAACUCACUUUUUCUCAGCCUUAACUCCCCAUCUGCAAUAUAGGGAUACUAGCAUUGGUUUGCCUUCCAGGGCUUUUGUAAGUUUUACAGAGAUGAUACAUAUGAAGUACCUAAACACCUUUAAUAGUUUAAUGUUUAAUGAAGUACCUUUUAUAGUUUGCAAAAAUGCUAAAUA